rnacentral:rRNA from 1 species
CCUACGGGUGGCAGCAGUGGGGAAUAUUGCACAAUGGGGGAAACCCUGAUGCAGCGACGCCGCGUGAGUGAAGAAGAAUUUCGGUAUGUAAAGCUCUAUCAGCAGGGAAGAAGAAAGACGGUACCUGACGAAGAAGCCCCGGCUAACUACGUGCCAGCAGCCGCGGUAAUACGGAGGGGGCAAGCGUUAUCCGGAUUGACUGGGUGUAAAGGGAGCGUAGACGGCUGUGCAAGUCGGAAGUGACAGCCCAGGGCUCAACCCUGGGACUGCUUUGGAAACUGGGGAGCUAGAGUGCUGGAGAGGUAAGUGGCAUUCCUAGUGUAGCGGUGACAUGCGUCUAUCUUAGGAG